rnacentral:rRNA from 1 species
GACCGGCGCACGGGUGAGUAACGCGUAUCCAACCUUCCCAUUACUACGGCAUACCCCGUUGAAAGGCGGCCUAAUUCCGUAUGCAGUCCGAAGCAGUCAUCUAAUUUGGACGAAAGGUAUAUUCUAUCGGUAAUGGAUGGGGAUGCGUCCGAUUAGCCAGCCGGCGGGGUAACGGCCCACCGGGGCAUUGAUCGGUAGGGGUUCUGAGAGGAAGGUCCCCCACACUGGAACUGAGACACGGUCCAGACUCC